GGGGUGAUAGCUCAGUUGGGAGAGCGCACGACUGAAGUCUACUUUGGUUUGUUCAUUGGAAUCGUGAGGUCGCUGGUUCAAUCCCGGCUCAUCCCA
rfam:Aspergillus versicolor CBS 583.65 unplaced genomic scaffold ASPVEscaffold_8, whole genome shotgun sequence.